rnacentral:rRNA from 1 species
CGUAGAUAUUGGGAGGAACACCAGUGGCGAAAGCGGCUUCCUGGCCUGUAACUGACGCUGAGGCGCGAAAGCGUGGGGAGCAAACAGGAUUAGAUACCCUGGUAGUCCACGCCGUAAACGAUGGGUGCUAAGUGUUGGGGGUAUCGACCCCCUCAGUGCUGUAGUUAACGCAAUAAGCACCCCGCCUGGGGAGUACGGUCGCAAGACUGAAACUCAAAGGAAUUGACGGGGGCCCGCACAAGCGGUGGAGCAUGUGGUUUAAUUCGACGCAACGCGAAGAACCUUACCAGGGAUUGACAUCCCCUGACCGGAUAUGAAAGUAUCUUUUUCCCUUCGGGGAACAGGGAGACAGGUGGUGCAUGGUUGUCGUCAGCUCGUGUCGUGAGAUGUUGGGUUAAGUCCCGCAACGAGCGCAACCCUUACAUUUAGUUGCUAACGGAUAACGCCGAGCACUCUAGAGGAACUGCCGUUGAUAAAACGGAGGAAGGUGGGGAUGACGUCAAAUCAUCAUGCCCCUUAUACCCUGGGCUACACACGUGCUACAAUGGUCCGUACAAAGGGCAGCAACUGGGCGACCAGAAGCAAAUCCCAUAAAGCGGAUCUCAGUUCGGAUUGUAGGCUGCAACUCGCCUGCAUGAAGUCGGAAUCGCUAGUAAUCGCAGGUCAGCAUACUGCGGUGAAUACGUUCCCGGGCCUUGUACACACCGCCCGUCACACCACGAAAGUUGGCAACACCCGAAGCCGGUGCCUUAACCUGAAAAGGAGAGAGCCGUCGAAGGUGGGGUCAGUGAUUGGGGUGA